GUGGGGAAUCUUGCACAAUGGGCGCAAGCCUGAUCUAGCCAUGCCGCGUGAGUGAUGAAGGCCCUAGGGUUGUAAAGCUCUUUCAGCUGGGAAGAUAAUGACUGUACCCCAAGAAGAAGCCCCGGCUAACUCCGUGCCAGCAGCCGCGGUAAUACGGAGGGGGCUAGCGUUGUUCGGAAUUACUGGGCGUAAAGCGCACGUAGGCGGACUGGAAAGUCAGGGGUGAAAUCCCGGGGCUCAACCCCGGAACUGCCUUUGAAACUCCCAGUCUUGAGUUCGAGAGAGGUGAGUGGAAUUCCGAGUGUAGAGGUGAAAUUCGUAGAUAUUCGGAGGAACACCAGUGGCGAAGGCGGCUCACUGGCUCGAUACUGACGCUGAGGUGCGAAAGCGUGGGGAGCAAACAGGAUUAGAAACCCGAGUAGUCC
rnacentral:rRNA from 1 species